GACGAACGCUGGCGGCGUGCUUAACACAUGCAAGUCGAACGGAAAGGCCCUGCUUUUGUGGGGUGCUCGAGUGGCGAACGGGUGAGUAACACGUGAGUAACCUGCCCUUGACUUUGGGAUAACUUCAGGAAACUGGGGCUAAUACCGGAUAGGAGCUCCUGCUGCAUGGUGGGGGUUGGAAAGUUUCGGCGGUUGGGGAUGGACUCGCGGCUUAUCAGCUUGUUGGUGGGGUAGUGGCUUACCAAGGCUUUGACGGGUAGCCGGCCUGAGAGGGUGACCGGCCACAUUGGGACGGAGAUACGGCCGAGACUCCUACGGGAGGCAGCAGUGGGGAAUAUUGCACAAUGGGCGGAAGCCUGAUGCAGCAACGCCGCGUGCGGGAUGACGGCCGUCGGGUUGUAAACCGCUUUCGCCUGCGACGAAGCGUGAGUGACGGUAAUGGGUAAAGAAGCACCGGCUAACUACGUG
rnacentral:rRNA from 1 species